UGUCUGCUGCUUAGAUGCUUUCCUU
rnacentral:piRNA from 1 species